rnacentral:rRNA from 1 species
AUUGAACGCUGGCGGCAUGCCUUACACAUGCAAGUCGAACGGUAACAGGUCUUCGGAUGCUGACGAGUGGCGAACGGGUGAGUAAUACAUCGGAACGUGCCCAGACGUGGGGGAUAACGAGGCGAAAGCUUUGCUAAUACCGCAUACGAUCUAAGGAUGAAAGCAGGGGACCGCGAGGCCUUGCGCGUUUGGAGCGGCCGAUGGCAGAUUAGGUAGUUGGUGGGAUAAAAGCUUACCAAGCCGACGAUCUGUAGCUGGUCUGAGAGGACGACCAGCCACACUGGGACUGAGACACGGCCCAGACUCCUACGGGAGGCAGCAGUGGGGAAUUUUGGACAAUGGGCGAAAGCCUGAUCCAGCAAUGCCGCGUGCAGGAUGAAGGCCUUCGGGUUGUAAACUGCUUUUGUACGGAACGAAAAGGCUCUGGCUAAUACCUGGGGCACAUGACGGUACCGUAAGAAUAAGCACCGGCUAACUACGUG